CACGGAGUUAGCCGAUGCUUUUUCUUCGGGUACUCUCAAUGAGCCACACGUGGCUCUCUUUUCUCCCCGACAAAAGAGGUUUACAACCCGUAGGGCCGUCUUCCCUCACGCGACUUGGCUGGUUCAGCCUCUCGGCCAUUGACCAAUAUUCCUCACUGCUGCCUCCCGUAGGAGUCUGGUCCGUGUCUCAGUACCAGUGUGGGGGACCUUCCUCUCACGAACCCCUACGCACUCGUCGCCUCGGUGGGCCGUUACCCCGCCGACUAGCUAAUGCGCCGCAUGGCCAUCCGCAGCCGAUAAAUCUUUAAACAUCGGGAGAUCGCCUCCCAACGUUGUUACCGCGGUAUUAGGACGGUAAUUUCUUCCGCUUAUCCCCCUGCUGCGGCAGUUCAUACGUGUUACUCACCGU
rnacentral:rRNA from 1 species